rfam:Cedecea davisae DSM 4568 genomic scaffold Scaffold0, whole genome shotgun sequence.
ACUUCCUGAGUCGGAACGAAAAGUUGUCUGGAAUGCGUGUUCUGGAGGGCUUUUGGCUUACGGUUGUGAUGUUGUGUUGUUGUGUUUGCAAUUGGUCUGACAUUUCGGACCACGGUAGCUAAGCUACCCCUUUUCACUUCCUGUACAUUUACCCUGUCUGUCCAUAGUGAUUAAUGUAGCACCGCCGAAUGCGGUGCUUUUUUUU